UCGUGUCCCAGAUUAAUAAACCAUUUGUGUCAUGAAAUUUCAGUAUCUGAUACUAUCCUAUUCUCUCUCUUUUCAUAUGUAAUAUGAGAACGAACACAUAAGUUUCUUCUGAACCAUGUAGCUGUUGGUGUCUGUGUAGUAUUCUCUUCUGCUGCUACAACCAGCAUUUAGCAAUUCAUUAUGUCGCUAAAAACAAAGCAUUAAGACUAAAGACUUGUGAAGUGGACCCCAAGGAUCUGCAAGUCUGCUACUCUAAUUAUAGUGAAUCAAGAGAAAAGAAAGAAUCCAGGAACAAGGCAGUGAGAGAAUUAGAGAAAAAUGAGGAAUAGUCUGAACAGAGAAACAGAUGUUUGUGACAUUCCUAUACAAGCACAUUUCUAAUUGCUUGCAGCAUUCAAGUUAAAAACAAAACAAAAAUAAAUCAAAACAACAGUGUGGUAGGAUAUUUAAAAGACGAAGUACUAGUCUUAUGCAGAAAUGAAGGGUUUUUAUUGCAUACUUCAUGCUUUUACAAUAAUCUGCCAUUGAUGACUGUCAGGCAAAGACACCUGCUACAUUAUUGGUUAGCUUUUCCUAUGAAAUCAUGAUUUUAUCACUUAGUCAACCCAACCUAAAUAUUCAGGAAAAUGGGGUAUGCCAGCCUGUGCUUAGUCUUGGAAACAGCAAAAUUGGUAGCAGUAUCUUUCAUUAUCGAUGUAAUUGAAUGAUUUGUAGCAUUUAUGGCUUUCAACAUAUGGAUGCUACUCUUCACAGUGUGUGUGGCCCACCAGGAAAUCAGUCACUUUGUCCUGAAGAUACAUUUUUCUCCUACCUACAAAUAGUUUGCUUUGGAGAUCAGGAGAGCUAGAGUAUUGGGCAGAAGUAUUUCCCACCUCCCUCCUCCUUGCCAAGCCCUCCAAUAUCCCAGAAAUUUGUUAGGUUUGAUGGAAGCUCAUAUGAAUGCCUAACUUGUCUGUGCCCAGUACUGUGUUGAGCACAAUGACUUUGGGAAGCUAGAAGUGCACUUUGUUGUGUUGCAGCCCAGGUGUGCCAUGUGCUGAACAUCAUUGUAAGGGAUAGGACUGGCUCCUGCCAAGAACUUCAGAUUCCAUGUCCUUUUUCCUUUGAAGACUCAUUACAUGAUCCUAUUUAUUCUACCUGAGCCUUAGCACUUUGGGUCUGCUAGGAUAAAGACCUUCCUCGAAUGCACUUCCUAGGCUCAUUCUAGGUCUUCCAUUUGAUCUGUGUGGUGCAAUGCAAGAGGCAACAAGCCCACCCAGAGCACCGGAGUAGUACAGAAAAGCAUUAGUAGUGGUCCAUGCGAGCCAGAUGAGAACUGCUGCUAAAUUGGGGUUCAUAAAACCUAUUUGUUUCCUGGCAAAGACACUGGUUCUUCUUUGCUCUGCAUUUUCUCUGAGCAGCUAUACCUCCUUCAUGAAGGGCAUGCCUGCAGCCCUUUCUCUUUGAUCUGUAGAUUACUCUGUAAAAGGUGCGGCUUCGUAAUCUGAUUUUAGUUACCUAAUUUAGGUAGUGUUAAGAGUCCACAUCCUAAGAUACCUACAUUUCUCUGCAAGCUGUUACAGAGAAUUUAGGCUCUUGAAUAAAGGUAUUGCAUAUCAAACA
rnacentral:lncRNA from 1 species